rnacentral:rRNA from 1 species
UACGGGGGGAGCAAGCGUUGUUCGGAUUUACUGGGCGUAAAGGGCGCGUAGGUGGCCUCCGCAAGUCAGUUGUGAAAUCUCCGAGCUUAACUCGGAAAGGUCAACUGAUACUGCGGGGCUAGAGUGCGGAAGGGGCAACUGGAAUUCUUGGUGUAGCGGUGAAAUGCGUAGAUAUCGUGAGGAACACCAGAGGCGAAGGCGGCUACCUGGACAAUUGCUGACGCUCAGGCACGAAAGCGUGGGGAGCAAAAGGG